GAGGAGUGCGGGGGGAAUGGCUUCGCUAGCGUACACAUAAGCCUCCGCCCACGUAAUCUCGCCUGUCAGCCAGCGGUUCUCUUCGCGGGUUUCAUUACGCCCGACGCCCGUCCAUCGUGGCCUGUCAGUUAGUCUGUUAGGGUUAUUUAUCGAGGGUUCCAGAGUUUACCGGGACGAAGGCCUCCGCUAACGACGAUGCCAUGCCACCCCAACGAUGCACCAUUUUAUUCGCUGUUGUUUCUCACGGAGCGGCUUGGAACAAAGUAUGUAUUGUGUGGCUGGACCAAAGUGCCCCUCCGGCAUAUAUAUCUCUACUAUUAAAGGGGAUCAAACGUCGCGAUGGUUCGACCACCUCGUUCGAUCCUCCCGCCUCGUACAACAACCAUCGUUCGGUGUCCCACACGCCCGCAUAAAAUCCAGCCCGCAAGCCCACGUACCAUCGAUACUGCCUUCCUCUCAUUCCCGACCGCGUUGGACGUGGCCCAGAAACCAGCCCACACUUCCUCCCAUCCCCGAUCGAACACAGAGAGAAAAAAAACUGUCGCUAACACACACUCACGUCUCCGCCUCCCCCCAACUCCCAACUCCCAACUCACUCCCGAUCCCGACCCCAUCUCUCUCCAGGAAAAGUCGCCGCCACCGGCGGCUGUGUUCGUCGCCCCGCCACCGAUCCAUCCGCUGCCACGCGCCUUCUGGAUCAAGGUGAGGGAUGCCUCCCGUCCCGUGCGCCCGCCUUGGAAGAGAGAUGGGGGAGAGAAAGAGAGAGAUAAGAGAGAGGGAAGAGCGGACAGCGGCGGCGCUGGCCUAAUCGCCGACAGAGGAAGAUGAGGUCAUGGUUCCAAAGCGUGGCGGGUCGGCGCUGCUGAUUCAUGGCUGUCGACUUCCUUGUUUGAUUUUGGCUGCGGGCGCGGCGCACCUUGCCUUCAUGUCGCCAAGAAGGUCUGCAGUCCAUCAUCAUCCGACGUAAACUUCAGGGCGGCCACCAGAAAGAUCCUGAUAUGCCGCCAUUAUGCAGGAGCUCUCGGUUAUGGUGAGAUAGAAACUCCAGAAUACUUACACUUAUAGCUAUACUAUGUCUCCUUUUUUCUUCCAGGCUUCAUAUUCAUUGGUUGAUAUGAUUUCUUAGGCUAGGAUAUCUUUUUUUGGAUAAUCCUGGUCUGAAAGCUUGUGCAGAAGGAAAAAUCUGCUUCCCAAUCAGGCAGUUCAUCAACAACAAUGCCAAGAUUAAGUUCAACAAGGAAGCCAAACAACUUUUUACAGUGUACACUCUCACAAGUAUUAUGGCCUGGUAAACAAGAAGGCAGCCAACUACUCAUAAAGAGAAACCGAUAAGGAGAUCUGGACAUAUAAGAACUACGUGGAUGAUAAUGUCAUUAGAAAAACUUGAAAGAAUUACGGUGGCUGUUAGUUUGCUCGAAGUGAGUAUACACUACAAUGCUUCUCAUAGCUUUAUACUUCUAUGAUGCAAACUUAUGUAUUCUGGAGUUUGUUUGUUUUUUUGCUAGGGAACUUUGAAGCAUGUGGUUGAAGUAAAUCUACAUUCUGAGAAAGAAUUUGCAUAUUCAGGAGAAGGACUGCAAACAUAGUGCUUGCUUUGUUAAGAUUUUUAUGUUCUCAAGGAUGUUAAAGGGUUCCUCCUGAGAAUCAAGAGGACAAGCUUGAACUCAAGCUGCCUCUUCACACAAAAGUGCUUGAACGUAAGAUGCUCCUCCAGAGUCAUUUGGCAGAUAUAGAAAUAAGAUUUUAUGAGAAGUAACCUAAAGGUCAAAUGUGUUUUGUAGUAACUGUACCUCUUCUGUUAUCUUUUUUUUCUUUAUGAUUGGGAGUAGUAUAUGUUGUUUUAGAGGGUCUAUUUUUCAGAAAAUAAGAUUCUGUUCUUUUGUUUCA